UCGGGGUGCGCAGGCGCGAAAACUUUACAAUGCGGGAAACCGUGAUAAGGGAACUCCGAGUGCCCGUAAAAUCGGGCUGUCCAUCUGUUUAAAUAACAGGUGAAGAGAGGGCCGGGCAAGACCGGUGCCAGCCGCCGCGGUAAUACCGGCGGCUCGAGUGGUGGCCACUAUUACUGGGCUUAAAGCGUUCGUAGCUGGUCUGUUAAGUCUCUGGGGAAAUCUACUGGCUUAACCAAUAGGCGUUUCAGGGAUACUGGCAGACUAGGGACCGGGAGAGGUGAGGGGUACUCCAGGGGUAGGAGUGAAAUCCUGUAAUCCUUGGGGGACCACCUGUGGCGAAGGCGCCUCACCAGAACGGCUCCGACAGUGAGGGACGAAAGCUGGGGGAGCAAACCGGAUUAGAUACCCGGGUAGUCCCAGCCGUAAACGAUGCGCGUUAGGUGUAUCGGUGACCACGAGUCACCGAGGUGCCGAAGAGAAAUCGUGAAACGUGCCGCCUGGGAAGUACGGUCGCAAGGCUGAAACUUAAAGGAAUUGGCGGGGGAGCAC
rnacentral:rRNA from 1 species